GACGAACGCUGGUGGCGUGCUUAACACAUGCAAGUCGAACGGAAAGGCCUGCUUUCCCUUGUGGAUUGCGGGUACUCGAGUGGCGAACGGGUGAGUAACACGUGAGUGGUCUGCCCCCAACUUGGGUAUAAGCCUGGGAAACUGGGUCUAAUUCCCGAUAGGACUGCAGGGUGGUGCCUGUGGUGGAAAACGAUUUUCUAGUGGUUGGGGAUGAGCUCGCGGCCUAUCAGCUUGUUGGUGGGGUAAUGGCCUACCAAGGCGGCGACGGGUAGCCGGCCUGAGAGGGUGGACGGCCACAUUGGGACUGAGAUACGGCCCAGACUCCUACGGGAGGCAGCAGUGGGGAAUAUUGCACAAUGGGCGGAAGCCUGAUGCAGCGACGCCGCGUGGGGGAUGACGGCCUUCGGGUUGUAAACUCCUUUCGACCGCGAGGAAGCCACCUGGUUGGAAGGGUGGUGACGGUAGUGGUAGAAGAAGCACCGGCUAACUACGUG
rnacentral:rRNA from 1 species